rnacentral:rRNA from 1 species
GACGGGGGGGGCAAGUGUUCUUCGGAAUGACUGGGCGUAAAGGGCACGUAGGCGGUGAAUCGGGUUGAAAGUGAAAGUCGCCAAAAAGUGGCGGAAUGCUCUCGAAACCAAUUCACUUGAGUGAGACAGAGGAGAGUGGAAUUUCGUGUGUAGGGGUGAAAUCCGUAAAUAUACGAAGGAACGCCAAAAGCGAAGGCAGCU